rnacentral:rRNA from 1 species
AACGAACGCUGGCGGCAGGCCUAACACAUGCAAGUCGAACGCCCCGCAAGGGGAGUGGCAGACGGGUGAGUAACGCGUGGGAACGUACCUUUCGGUUCGGAAUAACCCGGGGAAACUCGGGCUAAUACCGGAUACGUCCGCAAGGAGAAAGAUUUAUCGCCGAAAGAUCGGCCCGCGUCGGAUUAGCUAGUUGGUGAGGUAACGGCCCACCAAGGCGACGAUCCGUAGCUGGUCUGAGAGGAUGAUCAGCCACACUGGGACUGAGACACGGCCCAGACUCCUACGGGAGGCAGCAGUGGGGAAUUUUCCGCAAUGGGCGAAAGCCUGACGGAGCAAUACCGCGUGAGGGAUGACGGCCUAUGGGUUGUAAACCUCUUUUUUCAGGGAGGAAUCAAUGACGUGUACCUGAAGAAUAAGCAUCGGCUAACUCCGUGC